GAUGAACGCUAGCUACAGGCUUAACACAUGCAAGUCGAGGGGAAACGACAUCGAAAGCUUGCUUUUGAUGGGCGUCGACCGGCGCACGGGUGAGUAACGCGUAUCCAACCUGCCCACCACUUGGGGAUAACCUUGCGAAAGUAAGACUAAUACCCAAUGAUAUCUCUAGAAGACAUCUGAAAGAGAUUAAAGAUUUAUCGGUGAUGGAUGGGGAUGCGUCUGAUUAGCUUGUUGGCGGGGUAACGGCCCACCAAGGCGACGAUCAGUAGGGGUUCUGAGAGGAAGGUCCCCCACAUUGGAACUGAGACACGGUCCAAACCCCUACGGGAGGCAGCAGUGAGGAAUAUUGGUCAAUGGGCGAGAGCCUGAACCAGCCAAGUAGCGUGCAGGAAGACGGCCCUAUGGGUUGUAAACUGCUUUUAUAAGGGAAUAAAGUGAGUCUCGUGAGACUUUUUGCAUGUACCCUAUGAAUAAGGACCGGCUAAUUCCGUGCCAGCCGCCGCGGUAAGAC
rnacentral:rRNA from 1 species